UACGUAGGGGGCAAGCGUUGUCCGGAAUCAUUGGGCGUAAAGCGCGUGUAGGCGGCCAGAAAAGUCCGCUGUGAAAACUCGAGGCUCAACUUCGAGCUGUCGGUGGAAACUUUCUGGCUAGAGUACGGAAGAGGCGAGUGGAAUUCCUGGUGUAGCGGUGGAAUGCGCAGAUAUCAGGAGGAACACCAAUAGCGAAGGCAGCUCGCUGGGACGUUACUGACACUAAGGCGCGAAAGCGUGGGGAGCGAACAGG
rnacentral:rRNA from 1 species